rnacentral:tRNA from 1 species
GCCGCGGCCGUCUUGCGGGCGGCGGUGGUGGCGGUCUUGCGCACCGCCGUCGCGGCGCGGCCGGCGGCCGCGGUGGUCUUCUUCGCCGCCGCGGUC